CUCUCUUCCUCCCUCCCACGCGGCAUUCUCUGUGUUAGCUAGGAGGAAGUGACUGCACUUCCUCCUAGCACUGACCUCAUCACUGGGGGCCCGGUCGCACUGUUAAUCGCCGCAGUGCUGACCGGGCCCCUGCAGAUUCAUUGCCAUCGGGUGGCCCUAAGAGCAUGGGCCACCCGAUGGGGCCCCUCAUCGUGCGGCCCGCAGUGGUCU